CACACAUAAGUGUGAGAAAAACAAUACAAUUUUUAAGCCCAGUGGCAGCUUUUGAAAAGCUAUCAAGUAGUAUUUAGAACCAGUACUGAAAUGUGAAUGAAGUAGCACUUUUUUUUUUUUACAUUUGAGGUUAUCUCUUUAGGUGUUACCACAAAAAUCUGGAAGAUCUGGGACUUGAAUCACACUAGUGAUUCUCUGGUUAUUGUGGGAAAAGUAUCACUCUGUUUUGUGGAAAGAGAAGACAAUGAGCUUCAGAGAGAAAGAUCUACUGUGACCAAGAGUAUGGUGGAGAAAUGAAGAGAUAAUGGGAAUCGUGGCUUGUCUGGAUAUGUCUUUCCAUCGGGCUUGUAUCGAAGUCCUGUAAGAUCACACAGGACUACAGAGUAAGCAUCAACAAUGACAGUGGCUAGAAGCUCACUUAACAGACCUUCAUUCAUUCACCUAUUUAUUGCAGGUUGAUAGUGAGAAUGUGGUCUGUUCUGAAUGCUUAUGAUACAGAGACAUCUCUGCCCCAAAGAACCUCAAAAUCAGGCAUAAAGCUAAGAAUAAAUUAUUUAUACA
rnacentral:lncRNA from 13 species